AUCGAGGAGAAGUGGCGGUUCCUAUCAGGGCAUAUUGUGCGUGUAGUGACCAGGACUAGCGCACCCAAGGAACAACACAUCAUUGACCAUGCGUUCGAUGAUCCUCUGGAAGGGACUUCCACGCCGAGCCCAUCCACCAGCCAACAGCACCGCAGUAGGCACAUUUCCAGCAUUGACCUCACCACACCCGGAGGUGCUGAAGAAGGGACAGAUGGAAACAGCAUUAAAAGUCUCAAUAAUACUGUUCGAGACGGUAUUAAAUUGUUAGAGGAAGGACGCCUGAGACCGAACAGCUUUACGCAGAGGGCAGUAGACUUCUGUCAAGCUAUUA